rnacentral:rRNA from 1 species
UACAGAGGUCCCAAGCGUUGUUCGGAUUUAUUGGGCGUAAAGGGUGCGUAGGCGGCAAUGUAAGUUGGAUGUGAAAUCCUGGGGCUUAACCUCAGAAUUGCAUUCAAUACUGCGUUGCUUGAGCGCUGUAGAGGAGAUUGGAAUUUACGGUGUAGCAGUGAAAUGCGUAGAUAUCAGGAGGAACACCAAUGGCGAAGGCAGCUCGCUGGGACGUGACUGACGCUGAGACGCGAAAGCGUGGGGAGCAAACAGG